rnacentral:lncRNA from 1 species
CCCGAUCCAUCCGAGCUUCUCAAAGCUCGCUCUCUCUCUCUCUCUCCAAACCUCCAUCGCCGGCCGUCGUUUCCCUUUGUUCCCCAUCGCCGGCCGCUGUCUUUUCCCUUCCCGGCGCCUCCUCCGACCGCCGCCGCCGUCGAGCGCCGUCGGCCACCGGAGCACCCCUUCCCUCGCCGCCCUUCCUCUGUCUCUCUCUCCUCUGUGCCGAUACGAGGAAGAGGAAGAAGAAGAGAAGAAAAAGGGGGGAAGACUGACUUGCGGGCCCCACCUCUUAUAAAGUAACCCUUUUCUUUUUAUUUUAAUUUCAAAUUUUAGGGAUCCAUAUCUCAUAAACCAAAGAUUCAAUUCCAGAAAUUCUUUGACCUAUAUUCUUCUAAUUUUAAACUCUUCAUUUUGAUACCAAAUUUCCUAUUUUUAAAAUUUAAAAUUCUUUAUUUAAAAAUAUUUUCUUUAUUUAUUUAUUUACUUUCUAAUUUUAAAUUAUUUUAAUUAACCUUUAAAAAUUAUUUAAAUUUAUUUGAUUCACUUUAUAUCCCUUUAAUUUUAAAUUUCUUGUUUUAUAUAAAAACAUUUUCAAAUUAAAUUAUCUUUUAAUUUCUUUAAAUAUCUUUUCUUUAUUUAUUUAAUUACCUUUUCUUUAUUUUAAAAUACCAUUUUUAUUUCCAACCUAUAGAAACCGACAUCGUUUUCUUUCAAAAUUUAAAUAUCUUUUGACCUAUUACCUUUGUCUCUCUUCAUGCUCUAAUUUUGUUUUAUUUUACCGUUUAUUUAUAGUACUUUUCCGUAUAGGCUUUAUUUGCCAUCUUUUACGUAUACGUACGUUAGACAAUACAGAAGAUUUUGUCGGCAUCAGAGCUGAUGUGGAUGCAGCCGACUACGCUGAAGCCUCUGAAAAUUUCAAGGCGCAAGGCAAGAAACAAUUAAAAUUUUGACCACAUGAAAUAAUCAACCCCAUAUUUACUUUAUGCCUAAGUUAAUCAUAUGAAUAACAUUUUGGUGGCUUAAAGUGAUAUUUAAUGUUUUUAAGCAUUGUUAUAUGAGAUUAUGGAAAGAUACAGUGGACAUCAUUUUAUGUGAUUUAUUAUUCAAAUAUCUUUACAAACUUAAAAAUCCGGUUAAAAUGGGCAUUUUUGUGUUGUAAUGAUGAAUGUUGAUGAAUGAUGAAGUUUGUGGUGUUGGUGUGGGGAGUUUGGAAAGUUUUGAAUGGUUUAACCGGAUUAUAAUUACCCCCUUAUACCAUGGGAAAUGACAUAGUUGCGUCCAUCCACACGACCAAGUAAUUGGACUUAGCCUAGUACAUUGUCCCACUUUAUGAAAGACUGUUGGGUGGCUCUAUGAGUGGUUUUGGGGUAAACAUGCAUAAGGAGUUAGGGGGCAGUGUUUCACAACAGUGGGAUUCAUGAAAGUGUGACGAUAUAGAUACCUUGCCUAGGCCUGGCAAGAGUUCGACCACUAUGAUGAACCAAGACACCACUGUGCAGUAACUAGUAGUAAGUGGGACUCUCGAACGGCUAUGGUGUUUUCAGCCUUGCAAAUUGUUCUCAUCGUGUGGGUAAAGCUGGACAGUCUCCGCAGAGGUGAAUUAAAUCAUUCGAAUGUGCCGUACUCCCGGUUCUGGAGUUGUGUCAUAAGGGUGAUUCCUACUCCUGACGUAUAAGUAGUUUUAAACAUAAAAUAUUAAUGAAAAUAAUGAGAUUUUGUUGUUGUGCUUACUUUCUCUUUAAUUCAAUACCUUAUGCUUAAGAUGAUGAUAUUUAAGCUUCCAUAAUAAUAUUCAUAUCAUGUUUAUAAGUGUCUUGCUGGGUACAUAAGUACUCACUCUUGCUUAAUCUAACAUAUAGAAGAACCGUUUUACGAAGAAGUUCCAGAAGGUAGCAAGGCCUACUUCAACGACGAGUUUUUCUAGGCUUAGUCUCCACUCAAGCUUAUACCUGUGAAGUUUAGUAGCUUUGGGUUUUUCUUUAUACUUUCAAAUAAGGUUGUAAUAGUUUGGAUCUUUAAAACCAUUAACAGUUGUAUAAUUAGUUUGUAUGACCAAAUUUGUAUAAUUAAUUGAAAGUUGUUAUGUAUAUCAAUCUGUGCGUGAUCGAAAUCCUAGACGAUCACGAGUGGAUUUUUGGGGCACCAAACCUAAAUUGGGUGUCCCCACAGUUUCCCUCCUACCCACUUCAAAAAUUUCCUUUUUUCUCUCCUCUCCCCCAUC